rnacentral:piRNA from 1 species
UAGUUGGCCACUCCUCAGGUUCUGCAACC